CUCGUAGGCGGCCAACUCAGUCGGAUGUGAAAUCCCCAGGCUUAACCUGGGAACUGCAUCCGAUACUGGUUGGCUUGAAAUCGGGAGAGGGAUGCAGAAUUCCAGGUGUAGCGGUGAAAUGCGUAGAUAUCUGGAGGAAUACCGGUGGCGAAGGCGGCAUCCUGGACCGACAUUGACGCUGAGGAGCGAAAGCUAGGGGAGCAAACG
rnacentral:rRNA from 1 species